rnacentral:rRNA from 1 species
UGGCGCACGGGUGAGUAACACGUAGCUGAUCUACCCUAAAGACGCGAAUAACCCACGGAAACGUGAGCUAAUGCGCGAUAAGCUUCCGGUGUUUUAGAACCCUGGGAGAAAAACUCCGGUGCUUUAGGAUGAGGCUGCGGCCCAUCAGCUAGUUGGUAAGGUAACGGCUUACCAAGGCGACGACGGGUAGGGGGCCUGAGAGGGUGACCCCCCACACUGGGACUGAGACACGGCCCAGACUCCUACGGGAGGCAGCAGUGAGGAAUAUUGCUCAAUGGACGCAAGUCUGAAGCAGCGACGCCGCGUGGGUGAUGAAGGUUUUCGGAUCGUAAAGCCCUUUUCUCAGUGACGAGGAAGGACGGUAGCUGAGGAAUAAGUGUCGGCUAACUACGUGCCAGCAGCCGCGGUAAAACGUAGGACGCAAGCGUUAUCCGGAAUUACUGGGCGUAAAGCGCGCGCAGGCGGGUCAAUAAGUCAGCCGUGAAAGCUCCCGGCUAAACUGGGAGAGGUCGGUUGAAACUGUUGAUCUGGAGUACGGCAGAGGCAUAUGGAAUUCCGCGUGUAGUGGUGAAAUGCGUAGAUAUGCGGAGGAACACCAGUGGCGAAGGCGAUAUGCUGGGCCUGUACUGACGCUGAGGCGCGAAAGCAUGGGUAGCGAACGGGAUUAGAAACCCCGGUAGUCCAUGCCGUAAGCGAUGUGUACUAGAUGUUCGUGCGCCUGCGGGUGUAUGAGUGUCGAAGCAAUCGCGCUAAGUACACCGCGUGUGGGAGUACGGUCGCAAGGUUAAAAUUGAAAGGAAUUGACGGGGUCCGCUCAAGCAGCGGAGCGUGUGGUUUAAUUUGAGGCUACGCGAAAAACCUUUUUCUAGGUUUGACUUCCCACGAAUGAAUGUGAUAGCAGGAAGUCCCUUCGGGGCGUGGAGAACAGGUGCUGCAUAGGCUGAUCGUCAGCUACGUGUCGUUAGAUGUUCGGUUAAGUCCGAAAACUGAGCGCAAGCCCCUGGGUCUAGUUACAAGUGUCUAGACGGCCUGCCUCCGGCAAGUAGGAGGAAGGUGGGGAUGACGUCAAGUCAGCAUGGCCUUUAUGCCUAGGGCUACACUCACGUUACAAUGGCACGUUCAAUGGGUCG